rnacentral:sRNA from 1 species
UUGAAUUCUUUGAUUACGAGGUUUGUCGUGUCACGACAAAGAUUCUUCUAUCGCUUAGAGA